UCCGGUUGAUCCUGCCGGAGCGACGAUUUGGAGUCGAUUAAGCCAUGCGAGUGCGAGCCUUAGGGGCUCGGCAUACUGCUCAGUAACACGUGGAUAACCUGCCCUAUUGUCUGGAAUAACCUCGGGAAACUGAGAACAAGGCCGGAUAGCCCACAAUGCCUGGAACGGUUUGUGGGUGAAGCAUACAGUAGGAUGGGUCUGCGGCGUAUCAGGUUGUAAGGGGUGUAAUGGACCUCCUAACCAUCGACGCGUACGGGUGUUGGGAGACAUAGCCCGGAGAUGGAUUCUGAGACACGAAUCCAGACCCUACGGGGUGCAGCAGGCGCGAAAACUUCACACUGAAGGAAACUGUGAUGAGGGAACUCCAAGUGCUAUCAAUAUGUGGUAGCUUUUCUUGAAUAUGAAUCGGUCAUGGAAUAAGGGCUGGGAAAAGACCGGUGCCAGACGACGCGGUCAUACCGGCAGCUCAGUGGUCGUCACUUUUAUUGGGCCUAAAAAUUCGCAACUGUUGGUAAAUUGUGGGUAAUCAACAGCUUAAUGGUGCAUCUGAGAGACUGC
rnacentral:rRNA from 1 species